GGAGCUCAGCUGGUAGAGCAUGAAACUCUUAAUCUCAGGGUUGUGGGUUUGAGCCCCAUGUUGGGCA